AUAAGGCAGGUGGAAAAUUAUUUGGAUUGCUGCGCUCAGAGUUGUUCAUAAUUAGCCAGUGGUACAAAGUCCAAUUGGUGACCAGUUGCUAGCAGUGUUCCUCAGGGAUUGCUGUUAGGAUCAAUACCAUUUUAUGCCUUUAUUAAUGACCUACACAAUGGGAUUAGAGGGCACCGCAACAUUCCACCAAAGGAGCGGUUGAUAUGCUGAAGGGCAGGGCUGUCCCUGUUCAGAAAGACUUUGGCAGAGGUGUAGCUAGCCAGCGUAGAGAGGUAUUCCUUCCCCUCUGCACAUAUAAGACCACAUCUUGAGUGCUGUGUCCAGUUUGGGAUUCCUCAGUACAAGAAAGACAUGAACUCAGAAGAGGAGCAAGCUAGUACAGGCCAUUGAGAUGACUAGGUACUGAAGCACAGGGACAGACACAAGGAGAUACAGAAGGAGCUGGAACUGUUCAGCCUGGACGAGAGGCACUAGACCGUGCCUAUCACAUGCUGGACUGUGGGACUCAUAAAGCUCAAGUUACUCAGAACAAAUUUUACGUACAAUACGUAUUUUAAGCAAAGGGCUCGUGGAAAUCGUCACCAGGAGGAAAAAAUGUAUUCAGGUGGACUACACAAAUUGCCCAGAUGUGUGUGCAGCCAUACCCAUGCAUUUUGGAGACAUAACCAUGUUGAGACCUAUGUUUUCCUCCUUCUGUGAUUCUGAAGAUCUUCUACAGCAUCACUUCAAGAUUUUACACCUGAAACGGGUUCACUUUCAUUUGUCUGAUGCACAUUUCCAGCCAGCAGCCGGGAGACCGAAGAGGAUUCAAUCCGCAAUUGUUCUGAAAGCACACAAACUGAAUAAAUGUUUAUAACCCUAAAUGGUGUCACCGCAGCAGAUGAAUGGCAGCAGAACAAUGGGCACCGAUGCACUCUUCAGGCCGCAGCCAAGUUCCCUAGCAACUACAGAGGAGCUGUGCAGCCUGCAGAGGUACUGUGAGUGCCAGCAGGCCGUUAUCUGAGAAAUGACUGAGAAAUGAUCUUAGUGCCGUAUUUCAUUGAGGAGAUACCAUUAAUCAAUUGCCUGUUUGUAAUUCACGGAUACCACUUUUUCCCUUUGGGUAAACUAUUAGGUAAGAAUUCCUCUGGCUAGCAAUUUCAUUGUUAUUUAGUUUCAUGUAUGUGUUAGCAUUAAUUACAUAGGUUUAAAGUUGUUUGAGUUCCAAGGAAAUAGCACCAGGUAGCUGCUAUGCUGUAAGAAAAGCACACCGAGCUGAAGUUUGACACUAAGCUAAACUGAUGUAAUGGCUGCUAAAAGCUUGAGUGCCAAUUGCUUCCUUGGUUUAGAACUGUGUUUUGAAACACGUAGAUAGGUACAAGGCAAAAGGGAAAAAGAAAAGCAAUGGCUUUAUCGAAGAGACAUUGUUAUUUAUUAAAUCAGUUAAUCAUACGUUGCCAGCCUAAUUAAUAAUUGCUGGUGCAAGGAAUGCCACAGAUUAGGCUACACUGAUACCAUGUGCUCCAAACAGAUGAUAGAAAGUUGUACUCUGACCUUCCCAUGUGUCUGACCGCAACAGAGAACAGGUCACCCCAUCUUCUAUAACACUGCGCUCUCUGCUGCUCUGUUACUCAUUGUGUCAGGGGAGGGGCAGCUGGGGGUUAG
ensembl:lncRNA